CCGAUGCCGGAUUCCAUAAUAAAGCAUUUCGUUAUUGCGAGAAAUUGGUAGAUGAUGUCUUGAAGCAUUCAACAUCCUUUACUAAAGAUAUGAUAACGCGACUUCAUGCGUUAUCCAUGAGACUUUACAGACGAGAAUUUAUUGCGCCGUUAUUAGAUAUGAACGGACGCCUG